UCCUCACGCGUGUAGUAAAACAGCGUCUGUCUGCGGACUGCAAGAGAGGGGCGUAACUGGAAGGAGGCGUAACUUGAAGAAAGGGGCGUAACUCAAAUUUGUCCAAAUCACACAGAACCACGCGAGAUGUCAAAACGAGAUGUUAUUGGCAAGAUGGCCGCUUGUAUAGAGACAAGGGACAGAUGAGACACACGUGUGUUUAUCCGGUGCAGAGUGACUGAUGAAGGAAUGCUGCCAUCAAAGCCUCUCAAUCUUCUGUGGUGGAGCAGGACCUGCAAGGCAAGGUGACAGCGACAUUUGUGGAAAAAGGGAAAACCUGAAACAAAAGGAUAAAAUAAGAUAAUUUUGUUACUUCUAAUACAGAGAUCAGAUGACAUUGUGCUGUUAAAAUGACUGCUUGUGUAUUAUGUUUGGGUGUUUUUGUAUGAUCUGAAAUGUCUGCAGGCUGCUGUGAGCGCUGAGGAUGGAGAGUCCACAGCAGCAUCCUGGAAAUGAUCCAGUGCCAUGAAUGAGUCGCUCCAUCACUGCACCUGCCCUCAUCUGGACCAGAUGCUGCUGUGGUCUCUUCAUUAUCAGUGACCCCAGAGCCAGCGAGAACAUCUAGAGAAAGACCAAAAGACAUCGAGGAUGUGACAUUGGUCAAGUUUAUUCUGCUGGUCUCUGUUCAUACAGUGAAGGCUGACUUUCAGAAGCUUCACAAGCAUCAUCAAAAAAUAGUCAUGAAGCUUUUAUCGAAAGUGAUUUCCAGUGCUCUUAUUACAGGGACCUACAAUCCCCUGGAUCAACCUGGAGAAAAGAGCCUUGCUGAAAGACACACCGAUGGUGACGAGCCAGCAACCUUCUGCUCACCAGUUCAGUGGUUUAGCCAACUACAGAAGUAGUGGUGCUUAUGGAGAGCAGGCACAGCAGCAGCCAGAUUGUCCUGCACAUGUUCUCCUGCUCUUGUCUCAAGGUUGUGUGGUUCAGGGGUGUCAUCAUGGUCUUCCUCAUCCUCUGGGUCAACGAUGUCCUCAUUGAGAAGAGCAAGAUUGUGAAGCACAGCGCAGCUGCAGAAUUGACACAUCUGUAUUGAGAUGGCAGUAGGAUGUGGGGUUCACCGUCUGUAAAAACAUGAUUGUUAGAACAAUAAUUUUGAAUGAAGCUUUGUUUCAUCUGUUGUUGACUUGUAUAUUGUAUGUAUUUAUUGUGAUGCUUCCUUUUAUUCAUUCUUAUACUUAUUUAUGUUUCUUAUUGUUGUCAUUAAAUAAAAUAUAUUUUCUUAAUGUA